rnacentral:rRNA from 1 species
GGAUUAGGCAUGCAAGUCGUACGAGAAAGUUUUCUUCGGAAAGCGAGUAAAGUGGCGAACGGGUGAGUAACGCAUAGAUCACUUGCCCCUGAGAUGGGAAUAACGUCUCGAAAGGGACGCUAAUGCCCAAUGCCGUUUGCAGCCUGCGGGCUGUAAGUGAAAGGAGGCCUCUGAUUCAAGCUUCCGCUCAGGGAGAGGUUUAUGUCCUAUUAGCUUGUUGGUGAGGUAAUGGCUCACCAAGGCUGCGAUGGGUAGCCGACCUGAGAGGGUGACCGGCCACAUUGGGACUGAGACACUGCCCAAACUCCUACGGGAGGCUGCAGUCGAGAAUCUUCCGCAAUGCGCGCAAGCGUGACGGAGCGACGCCGCGUGGGUGAUGAAGGCCUUCGGGUUGUAAAGCCCUGUCAGCUGCUAGGAACCGCAGGUAGUGAAUAGCUAUCCUGUCUGACCAUGCAGCAAAGGAAGCACCGGCUAAAUACGUGCCAGCAGCCGCGGUAAUACGUAUGGUGCAAACGUUGUUCGGAAUCACUGGGCCUAAAGAGCGCGUAGGCGGUUGGGUCAGUCAGACGUGAAAUCCCCCAGCUCAACUGAGGAACUGCGUCUGAUACUGCCCAGCUAGAGUGCAGAAGGGGAGAGUGGAAUUCCUGGUGGAGCGGUGAAAUGCGUAGAUAUCAGGAGGAACGCCGGUGGCGAAAGCGACUCUCUGGUCUGCUACUGACGCUGAGGCGCGAAAGCUAGGGGAGCAAACGGGAUUAGAUACCCCGGUAGUCCUAGCCCUAAACGAUGGGCACUAAGUAGAGGGGUUUU